rnacentral:rRNA from 1 species
CCUACGGGUGGCAGCAGUGAGGAAUAUUGGUCAAUGGACGCAAGUCUGAACCAGCCAUGCCGCGUGCAGGAAGACGGCUCUAUGAGUUGUAAACUGCUUUUGUAGGAGGGUAAACGCAGAUACGUGUAGAUGUCUGAAAGUAGCGUACGAAUAAGGAUGGGGUAACGCCGUGACAGCAGCCGCGGUAAUACGGAGGAUUCAAGCGUUGUCCGGAUUGAGUGGGUUGAAAGGGUGCGUAGGCGGUCGGUUAAGGUAGAGGUGAAAUCCCGAGGCUCACCUCCGGAAUUGCCUCUGAUACUGUUCGGCUAGAGCGUAGUUGCGGUAGGCGGAAUGUCUGGUGUAGCGGU